rnacentral:rRNA from 1 species
CCUACGGGGCGCAGCAGUGGGGGAUAUUGCACAAUGGGGGGAACCCUGAUGCAGCGACGCCGCGUGGGUGAAGGAGCGUUUCGGCGCGUAAGGCCCUAUCGGCAGGGAAGAAGAUGACGGUACCUGACCAAGAAGCCCCGGCUAACUACGUGCCAGCAGCCGCGGUAAUACGUAGGGGGCAAGCGUUAUCCGGAUUUACUGGGUGUAAAGGGAGCGUAGACGGAAAGGCAAGUCAGAAGUGAAAACCCAAGGCUCAACCAUGGGACUGCUUUUGAAACUGUCAAACUAGAGUACGGGAGAGGUAA